UUCAAGAGAAUGAUGAUGAAGAUGCCAAUGUUAGUUCUUCCUCUGAUGAGAUCACUGAAUUGCUUGGUGAUAAAGAGCACCUCUACCCCAAGAUUCUAUAUCUUGUCAUUGCUGAUUCAGCUUAUUCUGAAGAAAACCAGUAAUAAAGACGUCCAAUGUUCAAAUCCAGCUGGCUGGGUUGYGAGAGCAGUUGUCCUGUGUUUCACCAAGCAAAAAAUGACUAAUAUAUGGCAGACACGAAUAACAAGAACUUACUGCUGUAAUGGUCAAUUAGAGMAAAAAUGGUUAAAAUAUCACCUAGCUACUGGUAUUAUUUAUUGGUUAGUUAGCAAAAUUUAAUUCUGAAUGAAUAACAUUUUGAUUUUGAAAAGUUAUAUAAUAUUAUAAACAUGGAAAGCAACUUCUAACCAAUGUGCACAUUAGCUUGAAUAGCCUUUUUCCUUUAUGCUUACUUUUAAAAACACAUUCAAGAGUAUGUCAUACACCAUAUAUAAUCAUAUUAAUGCCUAAAUUCAUCUUAAAGUGUUUUCACUUCAUGUGGUCUUAUAUUAAUAAUUAUACUGAAGUCAGGAUGAUUMAAAGAUGUGAUGGUAAUACCAGUAGUCAAAAAAGGUUUUUCCACAACAAAUAAUUGUAAAUUUAUUCUUUUUUAACAAGUAUGAUAAUGCAUUUGUUUGCAAGGUUAGUACCUUCUAGUGUCAUUCUUUCAAUAAUCAUGAUUUUCUUUCAUAAUAAGUGGUGUUAGAUAUGGUUGUACAGGGUUAUAGGUCAGGCACAACAAUAUUGGGCAUUGCACUAACAGGGUKUUUGAUCUAUCCUAUAAAUCAACCCACUACAUCACUCUACAAAGCAAGGGCUGCCCAACUAUUGCUUGAGAGUUUUAUGUUUUUAUGUUUAUUGCAUAAGUCAUAAUCCUGUGCCUUGCAGGAUAAAAGCAAGUCUAUGUACAAAGGGCUGUCUAAGCAGCUUUGUAGUUUUUUGAUWGAACUGGUUGUUUUAGGGGAGAUGUGAUUGUAUGAUCAGAUCGACAUCACCUGUGAUUGCAAAAAGCCAAUGUUUACACUUAAUGCUGUAUGCCCUAUCCUUACAUAGCCAGAAGUGUUUGAUUUUAGUGCAGAUGUAAAAACGUUUUGAAAGCAAAAACUAAUAUAAUAUUUGAAAARUUAUUUACAUUGGAUUUUCUGUUAUGUUUGGAUAGGGCCUUGGUGUGUAUUUUUGACAAUGCGUGUGAAAAUUAUUUUUAUUCUAAUAUUAAAAAACUUUAUUGUACCUUGCAUACUGACUUAUUAAACACACUUGAAUACUA